UCCAAACUUCUGAGUUCUUGACUUUGCAACUUUAAUGUUCUUUUAAACAGUUUUUUGGGUUUUUUUUAGAUAUAUAUAAUCUAAUCUAUCAGGAUUGAGGGCCAUCUGUUAAGAGUUGUGCAAACAAUGAUAUUGUUACUUCCCAGGAGAGUUUGAAAUCUUUGAUCCAGUUUGUGAUAUUCUUACUGAAUAGCACCUUACUCUACAAAAAUCUCACUUACUUUAUCAGGACUCAUUGGGGAGGUGAGGCACUAUCUUAGUGGAAAUGUAUAGUUUCCUCUUGCACUAGUGGUUUUUCACUGAUCGUGUGGAAAUCCAAGCAGGACUAUGACGGGGGAUAGGAAAUCAUUACUCCUGGUGCCUAAGACAGCUUCAUUGGCCAACUGUUUUCUCAGCCUGCCUAUGAUAAGGAAUAAGUUCCCCGAGCAAGGAAUAUUUCAGGAUCUUCACAGCUGUUCACUUGUUCAGGAUGUGCUCCCAGAAGGUCAUUUUCACACUUUCAGGCUCUCUCUUUCUAAUGGCCUCCCCUCUUGAUUUUUCUCUUAUAAAUCCAACUCCCUAGUACAAUGGCUGUUUGUUUCAGACAAUAAAAAAGAGGUUACUCACUUUGUGCAGUAACUGCAGUUCUUCAAGAGGUUGUGUCCCUAUGGGUGCGCCACUUCAGCUGCUCAUGUGCCUCUUGAGCCUUUGAUUGGAGAUUUUCACUUAGUGUCUACUAAGCCCACAAAAGCGCUUAAUACCACCUCAUGCCAGAUACUGAGACUAUAUACGGACAUGCAGGCAAAGCACCCUCAGUUCCUUUCCCACCCAAAUGUCCCCUAAGGAAUAAUCCAAAGCAGAAGGCAAGGAGGCUGGGUAGUGGAGCACCCAUAGUGACAUCUCAAAAAACAAUGGUUACUGCACAAAGUGAGUAACCUCUUUUUCUUGUCUGAGUAGCAUCCUUAUGGGUGCUCCACUUCAGGCGAUUUCUGAGCAGUAUGGAGGAGGGGGUUUCAGAAUAGAGUCCAGAACUGAAGAUAGUACUGCAGAACCAAGUGCCGCAGCAGAUCUGACAACAUGAAUCAGGGCACAAUGUUUCAAAAACAUACGUAUUGAAGCCCACAUAGCAGCCCUAUAUAUUUUAGAUACUGGUACAUUCUUCAGUAAUGCCACAGAUGUUGCCUGAGGGGACUGGGGGGGAGAAAGUGAUAAUACAUCGAGGCAUCCAUCUUGAUAGUCUGAGUAGAGAUUGAGAACCCCAUGAAGCUAUCCGCAAAGGAAAUGAAGAGCUUACGUGACUUCCUAAAUUACUUGGUCAUAUCCAAAUAGAAGGAUAAUACCCUGCUAACACCCAGGAUAUGUAAACAGGAUUCCUGUAGUGAACUAUGUGGCUUCAGGAAAAAUACUUGUAUAUGAAUGGGUUGAUUAAGAUGGAACUUAAAUAGAAUCUUAGGUAAGAAUUUAGGGUGUGGAUGUAAGGAGAAUGUGCCCUUAAAGAACACCAUAAAGAGGGGGUGGGAGAAAUCUGCCUUCAUGGCUCCAAUCUCUCUGACCCUAUGGGCCAACGUGAUAGCUGCUAAGAAGGCCAUCUUCACAGAUAAAUGCAACAGAGAACAGGUUACUAGUGUUCGAAUGGAGGUCUCAUAAGAUAACCUAGUACCAGGUUGAGGUCCCAGGUCAAGGUAGGUUCCUAAUCUGUGGACAUUUCUAAUCUGUCCCCAAACACUUAGUAAACCUAGACUAUUCUGGGUGAGCAAAUAUGGAGAAUCCUUCUACCAGAGAAUGAAAGGCUGAUAUUGCGGCCAAAUGGACCUUAACUGAACUAACUCAUAACCCUGAUUUCUUUAGAUCCAAUAGAUAAUCCAAGAUGACAAAGGGCACCGAUGCAGGCAGGAGGCAGCAAUGACAACACCAGUGGAAGAAUCUCUUCCAUUUCUGCAGGUAAGUAGUACAGGUUGAUCUCUUUCUACUACUCAGUAACACCUCUUGUACUUACUGAGAGAGCAGGACGAUUCUAGGUCCGUGAACCAUCGAGGAGUCAUGCCUUGAGGUGGGGAACCACUAGGUUGGGAUGAAGCACGACCCACAACCUGUAACAGGAGAUGAGGAACAGUUGGGAACUUGAAUGACGGUUGGACAUAUAGGUGAAGCAGGUAAGCAUACCAAGCUUGUUUUGGCCAUGUUGGCACUAUAAGGAUAACUCUCUCUGGCCUUGUUCAUCACCCUUAGUACCAGUGGUGUUGGAGGAAAUGCAUUGAACACACCCUUCUUCCAAAAAAAGCAUCUCCCAAGGAGUCAUGGCCCAGAUGCCUGCUUGAGCAGAAAAGAAGACACUGCCUGUUCCUGGAGGAGCUGCAGACUCAACUCCUGGAACAGGCAAGGACCUUCUGGGUGGAAGAUAGCACCACUUCAUAGGAGCAGCCCUUGAGUAGCCAGUCAUCGAAGUACAGGACACUGCUUGUUGGAUAUAAACAACUGCUACUGCCAGGACUUUUGACAACACACUGGGGCCGAGGAAAGACCAAAGGGAAGCGCUCGAGAUUAGAAAUGAUCCUGACCUAUAGUGAAGUGUGUAUGUAUACCCAGGGAUCAUAAAACAGCCCUAGAGUCCUUUAGCGUGCACAAGGAGUCACCCGUGGUUUCCAAGAACAGUUUACAACCGAAGGCAAGAUCCCCCCACAGCGGUCUGUACUUUCCUCAGAAACCCCAUUAUAUGGAGCCAUGAUGCCCUGCUCAUAACCACAGCUGUGGAGAUGGACCUGGCAGCAGUGUCUGCAGCACACCAACAUGCUUGACAGGCAGUUAUGGCCACCAAGUGGCCCUCAGAUGAUGGACUAGAAUUGCUCCCUAUGUUCUUGUGGCAGAAGUUCAAUAAAAAC